rnacentral:tRNA from 1 species
GCCUCCGUAGCUCAAUUUGGUAGAGCAGCGGACUCUUAAUCCGCGGGUUGCAGGUUCGAGUCCUGCCGGAGGCA